rnacentral:rRNA from 1 species
UCCUCCCUCUUUCUUCGCGCUUAACACAUGCAAGUCGAGCGAUGAAAUCUUGACAGAUCCCUUCGGGGUGAAGCUAAGAUGGAUUAGCGGCGGACGGGUGAGUAACACGUGAGUAACCUGCCUUAGACAUUGGGAUAGCCUCGGGAAACCGGGAUUAGUACCAAAUGAAAUCAUAGGUGCCCAUGCACUAAUGAUCAAAACUCCGGUGGUCUAAGAUGUACUCGCGUCGCAUUAGCUAGUUGGUGCGGUAAUGGCCCACCAAGGCGACGAUGGGUAGCCGGCCAGAGAGAGUGGACGGCGACAUUUGAACUGAGAAACGGUCCAAACUCCUACGGGAGGCAGCAGUGGGGAAUAUUGCACUAUGGAGGGAACUCUGAUGCAGCGACGCCGCGUGAACGCUGAAGGCGUUAGAGUAGUAAAGUUCUUUUAUAUGGGAAUAUAAUGACGGUACCAAAAGAAAAAGCCCCGGCUAACUACGUG